ensembl:misc_RNA Y_RNA Y RNA
GGGUGGUCCAAGUGCAGUGGUGGUUACAGCUAAUUGAUCACAACCAGUUACAGAUUUAUUUGUUCCAUUUCUACUCCCGCUGCUUCACUUGACUAGCCUUAA